rfam:Triticum aestivum genome assembly, contig: Triticum_aestivum_CS42_TGACv1_scaffold_571752_7AS
UUAAUACUCCCUCCGUCCGGAAAUACUUAUCAUCAAAAUGAAUAAAAGUGGAUGUAUCUAGACGUAUAUUAGUUCUAGAUACAUUCCUUGUUAUUCAUUUUGAUGACAAGUAUUUUCGGACGGAGGGAGUAAUUA